CAGUUCUCCACAUACAUACGUCAUAUCAGGAUGUCAGACAUGUGAUACGGACUGAGUGAUGCCUACCUGUGAUGACAGAGAGGGAGAGGGGGAUGCUGGUGCAGACACUGAAGUCAUGAAGAAGAGAUUCAGAUUGAGCAUUUGAAGCUGGUGAUGAGAUCAUUUGGAACCAGAUUCUGUAAACCUUCCCCAGGCUCAAAGAAGAACCAGGCGUAUUUGAAGACGGUUUCUCUCACCAUCCCAGUGCUGACCACCAUCUGCAGUGCUAGCUCUUCAUGGAAAUGCUAGGCAACAAACACAGCAUG